CCGGGAGAGGUAAGAGGUACGUACAGGGGGUAGGAGUGAAAUCUUGUAAUCCCUGUGGGACCACCUGUGGCGAAGGCGUCUUACCAGAACGGGUUCGACGGUGAGGACGAAAGCUGGGGGCACGAACCGGAUUAGAUACCCGGGUAGUCCCAGCCGUAAACGAUGCUCGCUAGGUGUCAGGCAUGGCGCGACCGUGUCUGGUGCCGCAGGGAAGCCGUGAAGCGAGCCACCUGGGAAGUACGGCCGCAAGGCUGAAACUUAAAGGAAUUGGCGGGGGAGCACAACAACGGGUGGAGCCCUGCGGUUUAAUUGGACUCAACGCCGGACAACUCACCGGGGGCGACAGCAAUAUGUAGGCCAAGCUGAAGACUUUGCCUGAAUCGCUGAGGAGAGGUGCAUGG
rnacentral:rRNA from 1 species